UAUGUAUUCCCUCCGUCCGAAAAUACUUAUCAUCAAAAUGAAUAAAAAGCGAUGUAUCAAGAACUAAAAUACAUCUAGAUACAUUUCCUUCUAUGCAUUUUGAUGACAAGUAUUUCCGGACGAAGAGAAUACUAA
rfam:Triticum aestivum genome assembly, contig: Triticum_aestivum_CS42_TGACv1_scaffold_327925_4BS